CCAACAGAUCGCCAGAUCGUUGAGCUCCAUUGGCGGGAUUUCGCCGUCUACGUUUCUCUUUCUUCGCGGACGAACACGCGCUGGGCCUGCACGCUAGCAGGACCCUGGUCCUUGACGGGAUAUGCGUUAGGGGCUUGUAGCUCAGUUGGUUAGAGCGCGCGCUUGAUAAGCGUGAGGUCGGAAGUUCAAGUCUUCCCAGGCCCACCACUUUCAUCAAGUGAGCAUUCGUCUUCUGGUUACGGGGCCAUAGCUCAGCUGGGAGAGCGCGUGCUUUGCAAGCAUGAGGUCGUCGGUUCGAUCCCGUCUGGCUCCACCAGAUGGUUUGAUUGCCGACGCAGCUUGCGCCUAGGUCUUGCACCAUAAUCGUCCGCGAAACAUCACUUCGCACCCACUAGUCCGGAUGGACAGUGAGGUUGCGUGAUUUCUGACAUCGUAAAGAGGAGAUCGAUCCGAGUUGGGUCGUGCAACAAAUCGUUGCGCGAGCCUUCAUUAUCUCCGGAUCAUUUCGGCGCUUGCUUUCAACCGUGAGGUUGGCUGCGAGUUGUAAAUGAUCCUUUUAGCGAAGCUUGACCGCCUCGCUAUCGGAACGAUCUUACGAAGCAAGCUGGUCUUUCUAGUCAAUGUCCGGCUGCAGAUAGCGUUCGUCGAGGGCGCGUGCCGCAAGGUAAUUCUGCAGACAACAUUCUGCCGAGUGUGUGGACAUUGAUAAUGAGAGC
rnacentral:tRNA from 1 species